AUCACUUCUUGGCCUUUUGGCCAAGAUCAAGGGUAGUAACUGUUCUAAUCAGUUUAAUAUUUAAUACGUGCUGUAUCCAUAGGAGGUUCCUCAUCUGUCUUUUGUAUCUCAU
rnacentral:snRNA from 1 species